GCUGCGGUGGCCUAGCCGGUUAAGGCGCCAGACUCAUAAUCUGGAGAUCGAGGGUUCGGAUCCCUCCCGCAGCA
rnacentral:tRNA from 1 species